AUCGGCCUAAAAAGACAAUCUAUUGGAAAUAUCACACCCCAAAGCACCCCAGCGACCCACACAAGAAGCAGUAAUGGGCAGGAAGACCAAAAAAUCCAAACCCGAUCUGCCCCGGCCGGGCGCCAGCAUAGGAGACCUGUGGCGGCGGGCACAUGGCGCACAAGAACCUGACAUGGCCGCCUACAUAGAAGGCCUAGAAGACUCAGACGACCUGCUCUCUGACCCAGAAGAAUCCUGCUCACCCGCAAGGUGGCCGCCGGAGAAGCCUAACCCAAAGCCAGCCACGCGGCCUGAAACAGCUCCGGUCACGAAAGCUGAAAUGAAGGAGCUGCUGGCGGAGCUCCGCCGGAAUAUUCAGGCGGACGUCGCUGAUAUGCGGAGAGACAUAAAGGGCCUCACGGACCGUGUGAACACUGUGGAGCUAAAUUCCCACACGCACGCUAGGAAAGUGACCUCCCUCCAGCAGGAGAUGAAACAACUGCAACAGCAGCAAUUGAAGAUUGAAGGGGCUAUGGCAACAAUGGAGGAUUCACGAAGCGCCCAGAACCUCAAGGUCAGGGGCAUCGCAGAAUCAAUUCCAGACUCUGAACUCCCCCACCUCAUGCGGCGCCUGGUGAGUACGAUACUGCCACCAAAGCAAGCAAAGGGAGUGGGCCUCGACGGCAUCUUUAGAAUCCCUAAACCACCAACGGCCCCAUCAGCAGCAACUAGGGAUUUAAUAAUCAAGUUCCAGAAGCAAC